rnacentral:rRNA from 1 species
AUUGAACGCUGGCGGCAGGCUUAACACAUGCAAGUCGAGCGGAGAUGAGGUGCUUGCACCUUAUCUUAGCGGCGGACGGGUGAGUAAUGCUUAGGAAUCUGCCAUUUAGUGGGGGACAACAUUCCGAAAGGAAUGCUAAUACCGCAUACGUCCUACGGGAGAAAGCAGGGGAUCUUCGGACCUUGCACUAAAUGAUGAGCCUAAGUCGGAUUAGCUAGUUGGUGGGGUAAAGGCCUACCAAGGCGACGAUCUGUAGCGGGUCUGAGAGGAUGAUCCGCCACACUGGGACUGAGACACGGCCCAGACUCCUACGGGAGGCAGCAGUGGGGAAUAUUGGACAAUGGGCGGAAGCCUGAUCCAGCCAUGCCGCGUGUGUGAAGAAGGCCUUUUGGUUGUAAAGCACUUUAAGCGAGGAGGAGGCUACUAGUACUAAUACUACUGGAUAGUGGACGUUACUCGCAGAAUAAGCACCGGCUAACUCUGUGCCAGCCGCCGCGGUAAAAC